UACGUAGGUGGCAAGCGUUGUCCGGAUUUACUGGGCGUAAAGGGCGUGCAGGCGGUCUGUUAAGUCUAGGGUGAAAGCUCCCGGCUCAACUGGGAGAGGUCCUUGGAUACUGGCGGACUUGAGGGAGGCAGAGGAGAGUGGAAUUCCCGGUGUAGUGGUGAUAUGCGUAGAUAUCGGGAAGAACACCAGUGGCGAAGGCGGCCCGCUGGGCAGUGGCUGACGCUGAAGCGCGACAGCGUGGGGAGCAAACAGG
rnacentral:rRNA from 1 species